rnacentral:siRNA from 1 species
AUAAACGAAACGCCGGAAUGAC